UCACAGGAGCUGCCAGUGCUCCAAACCCACUGCCACCCAGCAUUCCAAGAGAAUCGGGCACACCAUGGAAGCACACGGGGAGCUGCCGGUGCUCCAAACCCACCGCCAGCCCUGGGGCUCCUCCUCGGAGCCAGAGGGGCCGUGGGAGUUCAGGAUCCCAGCUACUGCAAACCCCACAGCCCCCACACCACAGCCCAAGGCUUAUCACAGCUGUGUUUCACUCCAGAAUCCUCCUUCCUGUGGCCAAAAAGCCACAGAGGUGCAGACCAGCUGCUCACAAACUGGAAUUCCGUCAGGAUCUGAGCACAGCUCGCGUAUCCCUGCCUCCAUCCGUAACCACGGUCGGGCAGCUCUAGGCGGGGCCGUGGAAGACGCUGGGUUUGCGGGAACGUUGCUCCACGGGAGGACAACACGGAUGACAGAGUGCGUCUAUUUCAGGAGCACAGAGGAUGGCGUGCCUCGUCAGAGGACAGAGCAGGAGGACAAACGAGCCGGGGUCACAGCAGGCAGGCUCAGCACCAGCUGGACGUGGAGGGUGGUCCUCUCCAAAGGAGCACGGAGCAACGCCCCACACCCUCACCUCUGAACUCCUCACCACGACCCAUUCGGGAAUUUUGUUAUUUCACUGGAUGGACUGGAAGCGAUUAUGCUUGCACUGAACAGCGAGUAUGAAACUAAAGGAGGAUGCCAAAGCUUUGGAGAUGGUCUGUAAAGAAGCUACCACUAGAACUGCCCCUAAAAGGGCUGACAGACCUC